rnacentral:tRNA from 1 species
GGGGUUGUGGCUCAGAGGUAGAGCGCUCACCUGGCAUGUGUGAGGCACGGGGUUCCAUCCUUAGCACCA